rnacentral:rRNA from 1 species
GCCUACGGGAGGCAGCAGUGAGGAAUAUUGGUCAAGGGGCGCGAGCCUGAACCAGCCAAGUCGCGUGAGGGAUGAAGGUUCUAUGGAUCGUAAACCUCUUUUAUAAGGGAAUAAAGUGUGGGACGUGUCCUAUUUUGUAUGUACCUUAUGAAUAAGGAUCGGCUAACUCCGUUCCAGCAGCCGCGGUAAUACGGAGGAUCCGAGCGGUAUCCGGCUUUAUUGGGUUUAAAGGGUGCGUAGGCGGCCUUUUAAGUCAGGGGUGAAAGUCUGUGGCUCAACCAUAGAAUUGCCGUUGAAACUGGGGGGCUUGAGUAUGUUUGAGGCAGGCGGAAUGCGUGGUGUAGCGGUGAAAUGCUUAGAUAUCACGCAGAACCCCGAUUGCGAAGGCAGCCUGCCAAGCCAUGACUGACGCUGAUGCACGAAAGCGUGGGGAUCAAACAGGAUUAGAUACCCGAGUAGUC